GUUGUACUUUUAGGUGGGAGGUGGUAAAGUCUGGUCAACAAGCUACAGACACUGAAUAAUCCUCAGUGCACCCAGAAAGCCUCAUUGAUGACUGCUGGAUUGGGGUUGUAAUAAUCCUCUGGAACCUCUUCAGCUUUCCCUUAGAUUCAGCCAUGUCAGCUUCCGCAUCCCCAGUCUGCAGCAGAAUAAUAUGGUUUUGCACUGGUUAUAGAGUCAACAAGAAGAUUAAAGUGGAGGAGUGUCUGUGAUAUGGCCGCCGCCACAGACACACACCUGACGUCUCCUACCCUGAGUUCACAGCCUACCUCUUCCUCACCCCAACCACCCUGACAAACCUGGCCAGCAGAGCAGUAGGUCUAACUGUAUCACAUGGUGUCUUCCCAGUCACCUGAGGACGUUGGUUGAUCUAUUAGUUGUAAUUCAACUGGCGGGAUGAAGGAUGAGGGAAUGGAUGGACCGGGACAUUUUUAAACCUCACCAAAAUAAAAUGCAAAGAGUUCAGCUGCUCCACUCUGUCCUCUACCGCCAGCACGCUUCUCUGACAAGGACCUUGACCCAUCUCUGAGGAACCACAGGCAAGAAUGCAAGAUCUGGCUGCAGAUCCCCUCGGCGGACCCCAGUUUGAGAACCCCUGUGUUCUCAAUAGACUAUUCCAUAGGGUAUUGUUUAUGUACUCAAUGGUCAAAAUUCACGCUUUGCCAAGUUUCGUGACUUGUUACUGUGUUAUAUUGGUUGUCAUAAGCAUGAGGUGAUGAUAGAAAACAGUCAAAUCUUUAAGUUGCAGUGCCACACUUUUUCUUUCUGAUCUUAACACACAAGCCAUUUCACCAAGUUCACUGUCUAGUUGCAAGUUCUAUAAGUGUUAUUUGGAUAGGAAUGACAUGCUGGAGUCUCCCAAUCAGGGGGAAUGCGGCUAGCCAGGUCAGGUUAGGAGACUUGAUAAAAUACAUCUGAUUACAGUAUGGCACACAGUAAGACACGGUCCUUCUGACCUUUGACCCUUGAGUGGGUUUGAGCACUGCUCUAGUACUAUAAUUUUUGUAUUCAUAUUCGGGGUUGGUUAGUCUCGGAAACCCCUAAAGUCUGUUAUGAAUCCCUAUGGUGUGCUAAACCAACCCAGUUACCUGUGUCUUAAAUCCUACCUUGGGUUACAGUCAGACCUGCUGUAAAAGUCAAGUCCUGAAGUGUGUAGUGUACAUAACAUGCCAACAACAAAUGAAGUAGCUGCAUUGACACUUUACACAGUGAGCAUAGGGGAUUAAAUGUUGACUCUGGGGUGAUUACUUUGGCCUAAUCCAUGAAUAGGACAUGUUCCUCUCUACAUAACCUGGUGAUCCGUGAUCUGUUCUAAGGAGCUCCAUGUCGACCACAUUCACCCAGUAAUCCCAAACAGGCUAAAAACAUUUAUGCAAAAAACAUGAACUUUUUCUUAUUUUUAAAGGUAUUUUAAAUGUUACAUCUAAUGUCCAUUCUAUAAAAAAAUGUAAGGCUUUUUUUUUCUUAAAUGUGGGCUAUUGUUACAGGUUUCUAACCAGUUUUGGGAGACUCAUCCAGGAUGUAUAUAGGGAAAAUGGACUCUCUAACUGUGUCCUAACCACUUUCAUAACCCCCCUCAACAGUAUUCAAAGAAUACUAUUUUAAACUUUUCUUCAAAGUUCAAGUUACAUUACAAAGGAAAUGUUAAAUUCAAAAGCAUCAUACUGUCUUGCUUGACUCUUUGUCAACCUCUAAAAGUAUGUAUUUGAAUAGAAACCUACUUUGUCAAAAAAACAUUGUAUUUUAGGACCAAUUAAUAAAACAUUUGCCGCUUCAUCAAUUCA